ACGGAUGGUUUUGAUCAUGUGAAACCGGCUCCUAAGGAUCCGAUCUUCGGUGCGACGGAGGCUUUCAUGGCCGAUCCAUGCACGAACAAAAUCAACCUUGGAGUGGGAGCUUAUCGGAUCGAUUAGGGGAAACCGGUUGUGCUUCAAUGUCUUGGAGAUGCUGAAUCGAAGAUCGCCGGUAGUGAGUUCUUGAUUCAAAUGUUGCGAAGGAAAGGAGAUUUUCUGGAGUUCAGGCACUUUCUGGGACUGGAACAUGCCGACUGGUUGCUGAAUUUCAGAGCCAUUUCCAUCCUGAUGUUCCAAUGUUCUUGCCUGAACCAACUUGGUCUAAGUGACACAUCACUUUCCCUUUGUUUGACAUGGCGUAUCAAGGGUUUUCCAGUGGAGAUCUUGAAGGGAUGCCAAAGUUAUAUGGCUGUUUCUUGAAGAUGGAUAUAUGGUAGGUUGUGCUCAAUCAUAUGCGAAGAAUAUGGGUGUAUAUGGACACAGGGUUGGUUAUCUAAGUGUUCUUGGCAAAGUUCAACAGCAAGCCAUGAUAGUAUGAUCUCAGCCUCAGUGACUGGCCAGGCAAUGUAUAGCAGCCCUCCCAUUCGUCUGAAGCCUGAAUGGAUUGAAGAACUGAAGAUGCAGGUCGGAAUGGUUUGCUAUUCUGGUUUAAACUGUGAGCAGAUUGAUCUGCUGGCUAGAGAUUUUGGUGUACAUAUGAACAGGGAUGGACGUGUGAGGUACCUCUAAAACUUUAUGUUAGGCUGCAUUAAAUUUGCAUCUUUGAUUGGCUGGUCGAUGAUUUAUGUUUUAAUUAAUUGAGCGAUAGUUAAAAUAUAAGAAAUAAAAAAUUUGUUUCUUUGAUU